CAAACGGCGGAAAGCGGAAGUAGGAUGUCAGAACAUAAACAAACGUCAACGUUGGUCUACUGAAUAGAUUGUUUGAUUGUUUGGAAACGUUUUAACUGUGCUUGGGCACAGCGACUGCUUUUACUGUUGACUGCAUUUAAAGAUGUAGAUAUUGCUUUGAAAUCAAUCGACGGAACCGGGAACGUACUGAAAAAGGGGGAAAAGGACGUUCUCACUAUAGGGAGUCACCGAGUGGCACCGAAUAAUUCCGGACCGGUGUUGAGAAGGAAGUUGUGGCGAGGAGGUAACUGAGGUAGACUUCGGAACUGUACAUACAAGACAAAAAAUGCCAGGAGAGUCAACAUUGAGUCCACCAGCACCCCUCGACCUCGGGCGCAUGGAGGAGGAAGCAAAGGCUUCAGCAACCAAAAGAAUUGCUAGCAUACUACAGAGACCAGAACAACUAGAGCGGGUGGACCAGUACAAGAGAAGAAUGACUCGCAAAAAGGCAUCAGUGGAUACAAUGCUUAAGUCUGCCGUGCAGUCUCAGCUGGAUGGAGUCAGGACUGGUCUGAACCAGUUACAAAGUGCUCUUCAGGAUGUUUACGAAAUCAAACAGAGUUUGGAUGUAGUAGAAGAGACAUACAAGUCUAUUCAGCCUUUGAAAGAUAAAUUGAGUUCUGUAAACAAAGAAAACAACAGCUUUUGUCAGCUGGGGUCUGCUAUGGAAAAUCUGAAACAUAUUUUUACUGUACCUGAAAGUGUCAGGAAGACAGCUGAGUUCAUCAGUGAGAGUAAACUUCUCCAGGCACACAAGCAUCUCACUGACCUUGAGAUGGCACGAGAUGACCUUAUGUUUGAACUUCACAAACAGCCGCAGAAGUCUCCGACAGACAACAAUACACUUACAAAGUAUUUUAAGGACGUUGAGAAACUUUCGGAGGACCUGGGGAAACAGUUAUGGAUCAUCAUGGGGAGAGUUCUGAUUACUGUACGUCGAGAACCGACCCUCAUCGUCACGGCGCUGCGUAUCAUAGAGCGAGAGGAGAAGCGAGAUGAGAUUGUUAUGAAAAGGAAAGAGCAAACAGGAUUCCUUCCUGUGGGGCGGCCAAAGAGAUGGAAGAAAAAAACUUUUGAGAUUCUGGAACGUACAAUUACGUACAAAAUUGAAGGUAACCAAAUGGAAGAUAGAGAUACUAACAAAAUGUGGCUUGUUCGACAUCUCGAGAUCACUCGACAACUAAUGAUUGACGACCUUCGCGUUGCCAAGACAAUGCUUCCACCCGUUUUCCCUCCUUCGUAUGCCAUUGUUGAUAAGUAUGUGAAAAUGUACCAUGCUGGUAUAGCCAGCCAUAUAGGAGACAUGAUAGCCCAGGGUUUAGAGGGUAAUGAGUAUGUCACACUCCUCAGUUGGAUCAAUGCUUACAACUCCCCAGAACUUUUGAAACACCCUGAAUUGAACAUUGACAUCAAAGAUCUUGGUCCACUGUUGGAGCCGACUGUUAUAGAUGAUCUUCAGAACCAGUAUUUAAAGAAUAUGAGAUCAAAUAUCAUGGACUGGACAAAGAACUCUCUUGUACAAGAUAAAAAGGACUGGUUCCGAGAAGAACAUCCGGACGCCGAUGGGGAUGGAUUCUACUCCACCUCUCUACCAGUCAUCUUAUUCCAAAUGAUGGAACAGAAUCUCCAAGUCGCACAGAUGAUUGGUGAAGAUCUGGUGAAGAAAGUCUUAGAAUUAUUUGCAGAUGAGUUGAACAUGUUCGCAAAGGAAUAUCAAAGCGAGAUCCAAAGUUACAAGGAGAGACAUAUGAUGGAUAGAAGUGAACCCAAGUUUUUCAUUCAUUAUCUGAUUGCAAACAUCAACAACACCAUCGCAUUCUGUGACUACAUGAAGGAGUUGAGGAAACGUUACAUGAAGGAGGAGUUUGAUGACCGACUCGAGGAAGAUGAGGACAACAUCAGGAAAGAUCGAUUUCAGUUACUGACAGACAGGUUCAAACAGAUCGGAAAUCUUGGGUGUAACAUACUCCUGGACGAGGUCUGGAUUGAUCUGCGUAACAGUAAAUGUAUCGAUGAACUCCUCACAAAGUCUUGGUGUCAAGGGUCACACUGUGUAGACAUAAUCUAUGCUACCUGGGCUGACUAUAGCGGAGAUUUUGUUCACUUGAAGGAGCCCUUCAGUGUCCGACUUGUUGUAGAGGCACGUCACAGAUUGUUACGAGAGUACAUCAAGGCCAUAUUAUCCAAAAAGCUGCAGUUGAAGAAUUAUACUGAACGUAAGCCGGUGGCUGACAAAAUAUGCUCGGAAGCUGAUAAGCUGAAGGAACUUUUCAAAGAAUAUGGGAACACAAAAGCUGGGGAAACAGAUUUUGGACCUCUCAAGUUACUGGCCGAGGUGUGGAAACUUAGGGAUACAUCAAUGAUGCAGCUUGAAAUAACGGGCCUUGUGGUGAAGCACCCUGACAUCCGUACAGAACAGCUGAUCAGUCUCCUAAUGGGACGCGGGGAUAUGAGUCGUGUAGAAGCAAGACAGAUGGUACAAGACACUGUUGGAGAAGAUGAUCAGAUGAAACCCAAACCAAAAGGAAUCUUCACUGAAGUGGCACAGAUGGGCUGACCUGGGGUGGGCUACUGUAUUUUGGUUUUGUAACACGGUCUGACACCAUACACUUCAGGCUCAUUCAGUUCAUUAUCAGUUAAUAAACGGCAAUUUCAUUUUAAAUUACCUUCGCCCAGUUGAAGACACCUGUAGUUUCAAGAGCAUCACCAAAAGAAAAUAUAAUUUGAAUUUAUUAUGUACAUACCAUAAGACUGCAACUAUAGCUUUCAAACACUACCAGUACCCAAUGUCAAACUAUUUCAAUUUGGCUUUUCUAUUUCCUUUUAACUGGAAUAGCCCUUCAAUAUUUUUUUCAUUAUGAAUCAAAAUUCUUAUGGAUAUGUAUAAAAUUGUAUAUUUUUCAAAAUUGAUGAAGAUGAUAUCCUCAGGUUCAAGGGAAUGAUUUCAUGAUAAUAAGGACACGUUCAAAAUUCAUCUUUACUCCAAUGUAAUGCAUUGUACUAAUAACUACUGUAAAUCAGUUAUAUUUCGCGUGGGAUUUAUUUUCGGAUUAAUACGCGAGGAGAGUCAAUCAAGAAUUCAAAUUCUUUGAGAUUAUUUGUUUAAAGAUAACAUAUUUCGAUAGUGACCAGGAUAUCGCCUACCAGUCUGUCAGUGUCCAUAACUCUAUUGGUUUCAUCAUUUGCGAUUUUAGUGUCAUUUCUAGUGCGAUGUUGGCGAAAUCAUAUAUUCGUGAAUAUGUCUAAUGAGGAAAUGCACGAAUUAAAAUAUAUUUUGUAUUCGCGAAAUCUAGGUGAUUUACAGUAUUCAACGUGACGACAUUCCAGACAUAUUUUCUACCAUAGAGGACCUAAACGGUGUAUCAUUGUAAUGUAGAAUUUAUUAAACGCUUUUAGGCGAAACGUUUAGAUCAAAUUCUAUAAUACACUGACACAAGUGUAAGAUCCUUUAUUUUUAAAGCAACUAUAUAUAUUACUGUUAAUUUCAUACUCGUUAAACACUCAUACAGUUAAGAUUAGCUGUAUUGUAAUUUAGAGAAAUGCUUUCAUUGUGAAAAAUACUAAAAUAAGAAGCCCACUAAAACAGGUACUUUUAUGGUAUUACUCUUAACACUAUAAGACUUGCUAAUUUCCACUUGGUCAGUAAAACAACAUAUUAAUGACAUUGCGAUAAGCAUUUGAAUGGAGAUGUUUCUUUUACAAUUGACAAUGAAAAUGGCAGAAUAUGGUUGUUGACAGCAAAUGUUUCCCCAACAUAUUUAAUAAUAUUAUUGAAAGUAGGAAUUUCAAAGUGGAAGGAUGCUCUCCUUGGGUUUUAGAGUUUGUUGGGGAAGACUUCAAUGUUUGGGCAAGUUCUUAAAUGUGUGCUGUAUAUCAUUAAAUGUUUGUAAUUUCUUUCCUAGUUUCAAGCUUUCCAAUUAUUUUGUGGGUACAAACCUUCGUCGUUAUCCCAUGUAACAAUAAUUUAACAAUAAUACAAACAAUAUUUGUUGUAUUUAUAUUUGCGGUUCCAUAGAAACCAUGAAAACAAAGAAUUUCAAAGUUUAUACACAAAGAAUGUUUCAUGUUAUACAGUAUAUGAUGCAUGGUUUGAAGGAAGCCCCUGGUUAUUGAAUUAUGUAUAUCUCACAAAUCAAAAUCACUAAGAGAUGUCUGACCUACGCUCAUAGAUUUUGUAGAUAGUUGCUUUCUGUUUGGUGCCAAACAAUUCAAGUGCAAUAUUUGUUUAUUGAAUGUAUUCAUGUGCGAGAUGUAAAAAUAUGUGUGAUUUAUAUCAAUAUUGAAUGUAAAAAGGCAGUAAAGACUAUACUUCCUCUCAAA